UACGUAGGGGGCAAGCGUUGUCCGGAAUUAUUGGGCGUAAAGAGCGUGUAGGCGGUCCGGUAAGUCAGCUGUGAAAGUCAAGGGCUCAACCCUUGAAUGCCGGUUGAUACUGUCGGGCUAGAGUCCGGAAGAGGCGAGUGGAAUUCCCGGUGUAGCGGUGAAAUGCGCAGAUAUCGGGAGGAACACCAAUGGCGAAGGCAGCUCGCUGGGACGGUACUGACGCUGAGGAGCGAAAGCGUGGGGAGCGAACAGG
rnacentral:rRNA from 1 species